rnacentral:rRNA from 1 species
CUAAAAACCUAGCCCAACAAACAUGAAUUUUACUAAAUUAACUAAACCCCCUUAAUAAACCAUUUUAACAUUCUAGUAAAGGAGAUUGAAAAACUUAUUUGGAGCUAUAAAGAUAGUACCGCAAGGGAACGAUGAAAUAUUAUGAAAAACUUCAAGCAACAAAAAGUAAAGACUACCUCUUGUACCUUUCGCAUCAUGGUUUAACUAGUCUAACCAAGCAAAACGUAUUUAAGUUUGACUUCCCGAAACUAAGUGAGCUACUUCAGGGCAGCUAGAAGAGCAAACCCGUCUCUGUAGCAAAAGAGUGGGACGACCCUCAAGUAGUGGUGACAGACCUAACGAACUUAGUGAUAGCUGGUUACUCAAGAAACGGAUUUAAGUCCAACCUAAAAGUUACAUUACCCAAGUUUAUCAAAACAAUCAUUUGGCUUUUAGAGUAAUUCAAAUAAGGUACAGCCUAUUUGAAACAGGAUACAACCUAGCCUAACGGAUAAGAUCAGCCUAGCAUACAAUCAAGUGGGCCUAAAAGCAGCCACCUUUAAUACAGCGUCAAAGCUAAAUUGUAACCGCGCCCAAUUACUUAACCCAUAUCUCAAUCCCCUGCUAA